rnacentral:rRNA from 1 species
UGAGUAACGCGUGGGUAACCUGCCCGUAAAUCUGGGAUAACAGCGGGAAACCGUUGCUAAUACCGGAUACACCCAUAGGCUCCCAAGGGCUUAUGGGGAAAGGCCCUUAUGGGUCGUUUACGGAUGGGCCCGCGUCCCAUUAGCUAGUUGGUAGGGUAACGGCCUACCAAGGCGACGAUGGGUAGCCGGCCUGAGAGGGUGGUCGGCCACACUGGAACUGAGACACGGUCCAGACUCCUACGGGAGGCAGCAGUGGGGAAUAUUGCGCAAUGGGCGGAAGCCUGACGCAGCAACGCCGCGUGUGGGAAGAAGGUCUUCGGAUUGUAAACCACUGUCUAGGGGGACGAAGGACUGGGGGAGGCAAUGCCCCCGGGGUGACGGUACCCCUGGAGGAAGCCCCGGCUAACUACGUGCCAGCAGCCGCGGUAAUACGUAGGGGGCGAGCGUUGUCCGGAAUUACUGGGCGUAAAGGGCGCGUANGCGGCUGGGUGUGUCAGGUGUGAA